AGCGAGUUUAAGGCCAGCCUGAGCUACAUAAGCAAAAUCCUGUCUAAAAGUAUAAGAAUUAAAAGGGUUCACUAAAGUUGGUAUACCACCCCCCCCCCCCACUGCUAAAUUUGACUGGCUUUAA
rnacentral:sRNA from 1 species